AGCAGACUUACCACUGGUCUGGCCCUUCGAACAUGCUUAAAGCGCUGUUAUUGCCUGGGCCCCUGGAGGGAGGUCUUUCUCUGGAUGGUAUUAUGUAAGAGACUCUGGUCUUGAAAGCCACUUCCUAAUUUUCUUUGGGCCUUCAUUUCCUCACCUGUGAAGUGAAGGGGUCAGGAGAGACCCCCUUCUAUCUCUGAAAUGAUGUAAAGGGAGGAAGAGAGUUUGUUUUAGCAGCAACUUUUUGUUUGUCCGCACUUUUCCUUUCUGCUCUUUGGGCCAUGAUAAUUGAGAAUGGUGUCUUUUUACUUCCUUAAAUUCAGAAGUGAGCUUUUGAGAGUCCUCAAAGGAAAUCAACCUCAAGAUAAUUCUUUUGCUCCUGAUUGGUAAUGGGAAAAACCUUCAAGAAGAAUUCCUGCUUACAGACAUCUCUCUCUCUCUCUCUCUUUUUUUUUUCUUUGAGACAGAAUAUCACUCUGUUGCCCAGGCUGGAGGGCAGUGGCAUGAUCUCGGCCCACUGCAACCUCUGCCUGCUGGGUUCAAGCGAUUCUUGUGCCUCAGCCUCCUGAGCAGCUGGGAUCACAGGUGUGCGCUACCAUGACCUGUUAAUUUUUGUAUUUUUAGUAGAGACGGGGCUUCAUUCUGUUGGCCAGGGUAGUUUUGAACUCCUAACCUCAAGCAAUCCACCCUCCUCAGUCUCCCAAAGUGCUGGGAUUACAGGUGUGAGCCACUGUGCCUGGCCUAGACAUUUCUCUUGAUGUAUUAUGUCAUUUGGGUGGCUCUGUACCCCUGCAGGCUUGACCAAUCACAACGAAGUGGAAGCAUGAUUGGCAUGUUAUGAGCCCCUCCUCUUUCUUUAGAGGCUGCCUGCUGAGUAGAGUGGCCAGCAAGAGGUCAGAUACAAACUUCAGACAACAAGAUAGCCUUUUUUUUUGAGAUGGAGUCUCGCUCUGUCGCCCAGGCUGGAGUGCAGUGGCACAAUCUUGGCCCACUGCAACCUCUGCCUCCCAGGUUCAAGCGAUUCUCCUGCCUCAGCCCCCCCAAGUAGCUGGGAUUACAGGUGCGCACCACCACACCCAGCUAAUUUUUGUAUUUUUAGUAGAGACAGGGUUUCACCAUGUUGGCCAGGCUGGUCUUGAACUCUUGACCUCAGGUGAUUCACCCUCCUCAGCCUCCCAAAAGUGCUGGGAUUACAGGUGUGAGCCACCGCGCCCAGCCAUCAAGGUAGCUUUUAAAAAGCUGAGACCUUUGGGAAUGGAGUGAUGCGGGGUGGGGUGGCGGGGGUUAGGGUGUAUUCUUUUGCUUGUUGUUUCUGUUGUAACUUUGAGAAGAUUCUGAAAAAUAUGAGGGGAGUGAUGGCCGGGCAUGGUGGCUAGUGCCUGUAAUCCCAGCACUUUGGGAGGCUGAGGUGGGUAGAUCACUUGAGGCCAGGAGCUCCAGACCAGCCUGGCCAACAUGGUGAGACCCCCCUCUCUACUAAAAAUACAAAAAUUAGCUGGGCGUGGUAGCGCCCACCUGUAAUCCCAGCUACUCUGGAGGCUGAGGCACACGAAUCGAUUGAAUCCAGGAGGUGGAGGUUGCAGUGAGCCGAGAUCCGCUGCACUCCAGCCUGGGCGACAGAGUGAGACACUGUCUCAAAAAAAAAAGAGAGGAGAGUGAGGAAGGAAACUCAGAACAGAUACGUUUCAGCAAAGAGCAAGUCGACUGGGAUUUUUUCUAUAGUGGGUGUGUAAAUUUCAGACUUUAAAAUCCACUCAGUAAAACUGACAUCCCUGCUUAUUCACUUUUGCCGACUCUGCUAGAAGCCUCCUGAGUUUUGUUUACAAGGUCUCCGGCACACAGCCUGCCUUCUUUGAAAGGCCAGGCCAGGACCAGCCUGCCCAUCCCUUCUGUUCUCACUGGAUUUCGUGGCCAGUGGCCUGGACGUGACUAACAGAUGGCCAUUGCAGAGUUGAUCACCUGAUUUCAUGGCUUAUUCUUGGGAAAGCCUCUGAUUUUUUUACAGAAGGUUAUCCAUCCCUUGGUAAAUCCUUCCCCUUGUAUAGAUGGAGAAACUGAACAGGUACAGGUGUGCAUAUUUAGUGUUACCUUGGACAGGUGGAUGAUAUGUAUGCCAAGUCCUCCUUAGCUUGUGUUUAGCUAUGGUUUUGAUGCUUAUAACAGCUUUGGUCGUUCUAGCUCAUGGUCAUGAGCUCUUUCAGAGAGGCUGCUGGCUUAAGUGCCCGAUAGACUUUUUUUUGAAUGAAUGAAGAUCUAUCCGGAUUUCUAGCCACACUUUUCUUCAGGAGUGGGCUGCAGCUGGAGUGAGCACUAGGAACCUUUGCAGCUUAAGAAUUCAGAAACCCACACCAGCCAGCCUAAGCGGCAGCCAGUCUCCUAGGAGAGCUGGGUUCUGGCCUGCGACGUCCUCCACCUUUCGGAGGUCAACUCAGAAGGUGGUACCUGUCCAAGGGAGCGGGGCGCCCACCGCAGGGCAGAGUCAGGACGUUCUGACAGCCCCCGUCAGGCGGCUCGAGUGGAACUCCCGCCUGCAAUACUUGACCCUGCAAAGGCGAACCCGAGUGCCGGAGGUGCAGCGCCAGGAGGCCGGCCCAGCCCAACCGCCCGCGUCGGGGAAGACUGGGCCCUCAGAGCUUAUCCAGGCCAGCGGUCCUGCAGGCUCUGGGUCGGGGGUUCCCGGGUUCGUGCGCUUCAGGUCCUGGUCCUGGAGCGAGUGCAAACCCGGCAGACCGUGUGCCUGCUGCAAGGGACCUGGGGACCCGUUCCUGGCGUCGGGUGCAGAGUCGUCCCCCGUGGCCCGGGCGCCCCCGGGCUUCCGCGAGACGCCCCACGGGACCACACAAAAGACCCCACCCCAGGCCAGGCGCGCAUUUCCUGUUGCAGCGGUGGCGGCGUGCAGCCACCCAUGUGCAUCCCGCGGCGCGCGGGCCAGGCCGGGCCGGGCGGGGCGCGGGGCACGCCCCCACGCAGCCCCAGUCCCCGCGCUCCGGCCGCGAGGGGCCGCCCUCGGCUGGCCCGCCCCCGUGUCACCGCAGGCCGGGCUCCCUUUGUGUGCGGCCCCAGCGCCGCGGCCGCGCCAUUGGCCCGCCCGCCCGGGGGGCCAGCCCCUUCCUGGCUCGCCUUAUACAUAUGCAUAAGAGCCCCGGCCCUCCCCCGCCGGCCCCUCCCCGCCCCCUCCCGCGCGGGCGUGCGAGGCGCGCGGCGCGGCUCCCUCCUCGCGGCAGCGGGAGCCCGAGCCCGAGCCCGAGCCCGAGCCAGGGCGAGCCGAGCCUGCUCCGGGCGGGCGGCGGCGGCGGCGCCGCUCCAGCCAUGUCAGCGCGCGCGAGCCUGGGCCCACCAUGAGCCAUGGCCAUGUCCGUGAGCGCCGAGGACGACGACUAUGAAUCGGAGCCGGACCAGAACCGGGCUGUGGGUCGGCCCAAGGGGAAGCUCGGCCCGGCCUCCGCGGUGAAGUUGGCCGCCAAUCGGACAACCGCAGGAGCUCGGCGGCGCCGGACGCGAUGCCGCAAGUGCGAGGCCUGCCUGCGGACCGAGUGCGGAGAGUGCCACUUCUGCAAGGACAUGAAGAAGUUCGGGGGCCCCGGGCGCAUGAAGCAGAGCUGCAUCAUGCGGCAGUGCAUCGCGCCAGUGCUGCCCCACACUGCCGUGUGCCUUGUGUGUGGCGAGGCGGGGAAGGAAGACACGGUGGAAGAGGAGGAAGGCAAGUUUAACCUCAUGCUCAUGGAGUGCUCCAUCUGCAAUGAAAUCAUCCACCCUGGAUGCCUUAAGAUUAAGGAGUCAGAGGGUGUGGUCAACGACGAGCUUCCAAACUGCUGGGAGUGUCCGAAGUGUAACCACGCCGGCAAGACCGGGAAACAAAAGCGUGGCCCUGGCUUUAAGUACGCCUCCAACCUGCCCGGCUCCCUGCUCAAGGAGCAGAAGAUGAACCGGGACAACAAGGAAGGGCAGGAACCUGCCAAGCGGAGGAGUGAAUGUGAGGAGGCGCCCCGGCGCAGGUCGGAUGAGCACCCCAAGAAGGUGCCGCCGGACGGCCUCCUGCGCAGAAAGUCUGACGACGUGCACCUGAGGAAGAAGCGGAAAUACGAGAAGCCCCAGGAGCUGAGUGGGCGCAAG
rnacentral:sRNA from 1 species